GCCGAGCUCAGUAGCGAGAACUUGUAACUUGAGUGGGGGCAUUAAGAUGAUGUGGACGUUGUUGUAGCGCUGCGGGCUUGGUUUGCUGGCCCGCCCGUGAGGCUGGCUUCACAGAGCAGCGACAAGUGCCCACUACCAACGGUGGUGGAAGGAUAACGGGCCGUUGCACUUCCUGGCCGCUUGGGCCUCAUUUUU
rnacentral:SRP_RNA from 16 species